rnacentral:lncRNA from 1 species
CAAACUCUGGGACUCAAGCGAUCCACUCACCUCGGCCGCCCAGAGUGCUGGAAUUACAGACAUGAUCCACCGUGCCCAAUCCCACAAAGGAUGACUUCAGAAGUGCAAUUCUGAUAUGGACUUUGUCUCCCUAAGGCUUUCAGUUCCUCAUAUUUAGGAUAAAACAGAAGUUUAUGUAAAGCCAAGGGAGAGGGUCACCGGGAGAGGGAAGGAGGAACAGCAGAAGGAGAGGUCCACACAUGAAAAUACUUGGAAGCGCCCCAGGGCCUAUCAGAUGCAGGUCUUGGCGGAAAUUACCAAACAUACUUUAGACAGGCUGCUGUGUUGCUGAGUGUGGACUGGCCUCAGGGCCUGCUGAUCAAAGCAAAAGGAAGCAGUGAAAAAAACAUCACCAUGUCUUCUUAGAGUCUAAUCUGGGGGCAAGAGGCCAGCAUGCACAGUUGGUGCUGAUUUUCUUGGGCGGAUAGAGGAAAGGUGUAGGCGUGGCCAACAUUUGAGCAGCAUGUGGUUCCUCUCACACGCCAUGCUGUUUCCGGCCUCCUUGCAUUUUACUCAUGCCAUCCUCCUGGUCACUUCUUUGAGAUAUUAAGUGCAUUCUUUAGGACUCAGACUCAGCUCAAGGGUCAGUGCAUCCAUGAAGCCUUACCUGGAUCCCAGAGGGAGCUCUGUGCUCCUCCUUUGUCUCCUAUAGGACCCAGUACAUGCGUCCAGUAUUAUCCAUACACACUGAAAUGAUCUAGCAUGUGUCUUCCCAUAGGAUUUCAAAUUCUUAGAAUAUAGGAGUGAUGCCUUCUUCCUACUUAUAUUUCCAGUGUUAACAGUGCCUGUCAAUUGACUUGAAGAUAACUAAAAGUCUGGUUGUUAAGGGCUGCUUCCCACCUCCAAAUACUUCCCUGGAAGUCAUUGUAUGGGCACUGACAUUGGUAGGUCUCCACUGGCUUGUAGAUGCUUCUGAUUAUAAGGUAGUCUCAGAUGCCUUCAGAAAGUUCUAAGACUGUAUAAAACAUUUCCUUCACAACCAAUAACUGUGUAUUAUUGUUCGUGUAAUUCCAGAAGUUAUCCUUUUGAUAGAGAGCAAUUACUUUAUUGAUUGAGAGUUAGCUAAUUAUGUAAUAAAGGUAAAGAUUUGCAUAGAGAAGUGUAAGAGACAUGGAGAAGAUUCUUGGUGGGUGGUGAGGGCGGGUACAUUUACACCAGACCAAGACUGAUCUGGCUGUGGCGCUGGAGAUUAAACUGUUUAAAUAUGGGAUCCUAAGAAGACUUCUGUGCAUUCUAGACUUCAAGAGACAGAUUGCAUUUUUUUUUAGGAAAUGUAGAUAAAACCCUUUGACUGAAUGACUCUAGAAAAUAAUACUGAUUUGAGAGAGAAAGGAAAUUCUAAAACAAAAUCCUGACAGCAGAGGCAUGAAUGAUCCUCAUGAGGAAGAAAUGAGACUCUGCUUAACUACACUGUAGAUUUUGGUGUGGAAGAAGAUGGAAGGUGGGUAUAUAGCCAAAUUUUGAAUACAAUAGGGCAGCACAAAACUGUGACAACAGUGGCAGAAGGACUGAAGUACAGAAUGUGUGAAAGUUGUUGUGAAAUAAAUAGAGAGCAACAGAAAAGGACUAUUUGGGCUGGGCAAUGGUAAUCCCAGAACUUUGGGAGGCUGAGUCAGGUGGAUCACCUGAGGUCAGGAGCUCAAGACCAGCCUGACCAACAUGGUGAAAUCCCAUCUCUACUAAAAAUACAAAAAAUUAGCUGGGCCUGGUAGCGGGUGCCUGUAAUCCGAGCUACUAGGGAGGCUGAGUCAGGAGGAUCACUUAAACCCAGGAGGCGGAGGUUUCAGUGAGCCGAGAUUGCACCAUUGCGCUCCAGCCUGGGCGACAAGAGCAAAAUUCCAUCUCAAACAAAACAAAACAAAACAAAAAGAAAGAAAAAAGAAAAAAAGGACGAUUUGAACCAGGCUUAGAGUAAGAAGGAUGAAGUGACAAGACCAGAGUUUGGGCAGAUGGUGAGACAUUAACAGAUAAUAGAGACAAAGCAGUAUUUUCUACCUCUUAUUCUGUGUCUUUCUCUGGCGAGGAAAAGGAUUUUUCCUUUAGAAAUGGUAGAGAUAACGUGGUUAACAAGAAGUUGACAUCUUAGUUGAGGGAGAUCACAUAAGAGAUAUCAUAAGCUUAUUUAAAUGGCUGCAAAGAUGAUAAAGGUUAUUACUGGGUUUGCUUAUAUGACUAAGGAUAAGCUGCCGGAAAUACUUGGAGAGAAAGAUGGUACAUAGAAGAAAGGAAGAGAAUUUGUCUCAAUUUUCCAAGAAGGAGCAAAUUUGGGAUCCAGAAUACACCUAAAUUACUGUUCAUUCUGUUUUCUCAGACCGCCUCCACUUGCCUAGCCUACUCUUUCUCUUUUUGGGCUAUUUUGUCCAAUCUUUCCCCAUCACUGGACAGGGAGUGGGUACAAAAUGAGCCAGGUGGAUUGUGGCUGGGUUUCAUAGGGCUAAACUACAAAGGGGAAUUUCUAUCCAAGACAACUCAGUACACUAGGUCCUGAAAAGGCAGUUGAGAUAAAUCAUUUGGAGAAGCUGAUAUUAAAGAAACAAGGUGUAAGGAUCAAAAGGAACCAAAGGAAGAAAUGGAGUUACAGGUUUAAAAAGCUGAAAUGCGGGUGGUAGGUUGACAUCAGGUUAGAAUGAGGUCUGAAGUUGGCACAAAAAAUGAACUUCAGAAUGACUACAAAGCAAAAUAAAAACAAAAUAUUAAUGGACAAUACCAGUUUGGUCUUUAUGUAAUUGGGUAUGUGGUGCAUAGGUGGCUCAGGCUAAGGGUUAAGAAAGACAUAGAAUUCAGUUUGAUGGAUUCUUAGCUGGUUAGACAGUCACCUUCUAUGUAAGGAUGAAUUAAUUAGUUAAGAAAUAGAUGUCAGCAUAGGCAACGUUUUUAGUUGAGUGUCUGGACCUGUCAUGUUAAAUAUUCUUUAUCACUGACUUAAAUAGAAGCAUGAAAGGCAAAUAUAUUAGACCUGCAGGUGAAAAAAAUAUAAGAGGAACAGUUAAAAUGUUGGAUGGCAGACUUGAAGAAAGGAUUCCAUUUUCUCUACUUUGCCCCUGAGAGGUUAAAACUAGCAUCAACGGAGGAGCAUUUUUAGAGAGGCAGAUUUAGGCUUACCAUAAAAUGGAACUUUCUUGCAAUUAAUGGUGUACAAAGAUGAGAUUAACUUUUUAAUUUAAUUUAAUUUAACUUUAUUUGAGAUUGAGUCUUGCUCUGUGGCUAGGCUGGAGUGUAGUGGCGUGAUCUCGGCUCACUGCUUCCACCUCCCAGGUUCAAGUGAUUCUCCUGCCUCAGCCUCCCAACUAGCUGGGACUACAGGCGUGCGCCACCAUGCCCAGCUAAUUUUUGUAUUUUUAGUACAGAUGGGGUUUCACCACGUUGGCCAGGAUGGUCUCGAUCUCUUGACCUUAUGAUCCACCUGUCUUGGCCUCCAAAAGUGCUGGAAUUACAGGCGUGGGCCACCAUGCCCAGCUGAGAUUAACUUUAAUUCAACCAAUAUGUAUUGAGCUCCAUACAUGAUACUCUGCUAGAUAUAAUGACAAAUAAGAGAAUUAUUUGGCUGUAAGAGAAUUUAUGGCUAACUUCAGUAAUAAUCUGUAAAGUGCUUAUUUCUAAUAUCCUGAUUAAGGAAAGUUGCUGGAAGUGUUCAAGCCCAGACUAGGAACUGUAUCUCCUUGUAAAGGAGAUUCCUGCAAAUGGUUGAAACGUUGUGCUCAGCCAGUUGGUUUCAAACUUGACUGUGAACCACGAUAAGAAAUACAUUUACAACAAAAUCCAGUACAACCUAUAAUAAAGUUUCAUCAAACAAUGUUGCCUUUAUACCUUUGCUGUUUUCUAUUCUAGCAUUGUCUAGUCUAUUCCGUUAGAAAUAUCCUAAUAAAAGCCACUAAAUUGACUUAGUAAUGGGUUGCUACCCCAGUUGGAAGAACAUUUUGAAGUAGGAGGUGGAACUUGGCUCCAGAGGUAAGGAUUCGAACUUCAGGUGAGAUUGAGUACUAGCUGAAAUAGGGAAGAGGCCAAAGAGCCUCUCCAUAAGACACACCCACCAAUGCCAUGUCAGUUUAUCAUUGUCAUGGCAACACUCAGAUGUUAACACUCAUUUCCAUAGCAACGACCUGCCGACCCAGAAGUUACCACUCUUUGUUAGAAAUGUCUGCAUAAUCUGCCCCUUAAUUUGCAUGUAAUUACAGUGAGUAUAUAUAUUAUUGUAGACCCGCCCCUGAGCUGUUACUCUCUAACAGGCUGCCUUUGGGGUAACCCUGCUCUGCAGGAGCAGUCAUGGAGCUGUAACAUUGCCACCUCAAUAAAGCUGUUUUCUUCUACCA